rnacentral:lncRNA from 1 species
UUGUGGAUCGCAGUGUGUUGAUACGACUGGAAACCCUGAGCACUGAAGUUCAAGGUCAGCGGCUUGCCGUCAACAGUCAGUCAGCGGCUGGCUAGGCCAUCGGGUUUCCUCGUCUGGACCGAGCCUUCGGGUUUCGUCGUCUGGACCGAGCCUUCCGGUUACCUCGUCUGCACGGAGCCUUCGGGUUGCCUCGUCUGCACGGAGCCUUCCGGUUGCCUCGUCUGGACGGAGCCUUCCGGUUGCCUCGUCUGGACGGAGCCUUCCGGUUGCCUCGUCUGGACUGAGCCUUCCGGUUACUACGUCUGGACUGAGCCUUUGGGUUUCCUCGUCUGGACUGAGCCUUUGGGUUUCCUCGUCUGGACUGAGACUUGACCCGGCUUCUUCCCACCUCUGGGACCUGGAACUCCCUAUCUUUAGAGCAUUUGCUUUAGAAAAUGUAUUAUUGUAUGUUCUUUCUCUGCCAUUUGAUACCUGAAUCUUUCUAGAAGUCUCUUGCUGGCUGUACAACCCAGGACUGUCUUUCUCAAGGAGCUGGGAGCUGUCCCUUCAAAAUGUGAUCACUGGCAAGAUGGCGUCAUCUCCUGUCCCUGUGGAAGGAUGGAGCCCAGCCUUGGACUACCCCGAAGAUCCGUGGAGAACACGUUCUAGAACUCUUAACGGCCACUCGCGACAGGCUCCCGGAACACCACUGCUUCUAGCACGUGGAAUAGAGCGGGAUUCGGGAUGAGCUUUGCAGCCACGUGACGUUAAGUAAUGACAGUUGGAGACCACUAGAAAUUUAUAAACUAUAUGAAGUCAUCGGGAAGUAUACAGAUAAAACAAGUCAAAUCAAUCUAACUUUUGGAUGGAAUAUUCAUAAAAACCUGCACCUUUUUAUCUCUCCAGUGCAUUACUGGUAUUAUUGAUUACCACUGAAAAAGUACAAAUUAUCCAGAUCCAGAAGAAAUGAGUGGCUUCUUUCUCGUGGAUCAUCAAGGAUCCAGUUAGAUCAACUCACGGUUCCUGCAGCCUCACAGCAUCGGGAGCUCUCUGCGUACUGGGCGCCUCCAGAGUUUCUAUGGCUACCCAGUUCUUGUCUCUGAACUCAAGCCUGGUGGAUCUAACUCUACUCAAAAACCUCCCUUUGGAAAUCUUUAAACAUUUCAAACUUACAAAGAUCCAGCACUCACCAAUGAGUACAUCCCACAGUUCCCAUCUCAGCAAAUGGGAGCAUCACUGCCGGCUGGAGUCCCUCCUCUCACAUCCACACGCCAUGGUCUGGGUGUGUGUGCAUGGGGUGUGCAUGUGGUGUGUGCAUGAGUGGUGUGCACGUGUGUGUGGUGUGU